rnacentral:misc_RNA from 1 species
CGAGCCUCAAUGCAGACCGAUGUGUUUAGUUUCGGAGUCUUGCUUCUAGAAGUGGUCUGUGGUAGAAGAUCUAUUGAGGAAGGCAAGCCUGGAUUAGUUGAAUUUGUUUGGAGGCUAAUGGAGAGAGGGGAAGUAAUUAGUGCUUUGGAUGAUAGAUUGAACGCAAAGGGAGGCUAUACUAAUGAGGAAGUGGAGAGGGUACUUCACUUAGGAUUAUUGUGUGCAUAUCCAGAUCCCAAUGCUAGGCCAACAAUGAGGCAAAUAGUGAAAGUGUUAGAGGGGGCAAGUAAAGGCAUUGAAUUAGAAGACGAAGGAAUGGAAGUUAACUUGCUUGAUGGAAUUAGAAGAACUAGGAUGUGGUCUGGUGGGCAUCAACAGAAUUAUGGUGAUAGACCGCACCCAACUUUUGAUGAAAUUUUGCCUUCUCUAUCAUUUUCUAUUUCUCUAUCUAGUUCAGAUAUUAUCACAAAG